CUUACACUCAGAGUGUUUGCAUGUUCUGUGUUUUGUCAGGACUUUAAAGAUCCACAGCUCCUCUGACGCCUCUUAGAAGAGAGCUGCAAUUGGUACACUGAUGUUUCUCCUGCAAUAACUUACCUGUUAUUUAUUAACUGUUUUACAUCAGAUGCAGACGAAGCGCCAACGCCUCGCAGUAACAGCUUGGCGCCAGUAGGUGGUGUGAAGUUCCACCAAUGGACAACAGUGAACCUGCUAGAACAGCUCUGUAGUGAUGCACAAUAAAAAUGUAUUUAUUAAGAGUCAUUAUCAAAUAUAAAAA